AAUAACAUUUUAUUUAAACUUUAUUCAAAACCCCACAAACAACGUUUUGUGGAAUUAGCUCGUUUUUUUUUCAGGAUAAGAUAAAGUACUACAUUUCAUUAAUAUCAUGACAAGCAAGAUACUAUGGUUGAAAUCCUUAAUUGAUAUCUUGAAGAUCCUUGAAGUCAGAUUUUAUUCCUUCUUAUAUUAAAAUUCAAAAGAGUCAACAUUAAAUUAAGCAAUAAUGUAUUAAUAAACAAUCACCGUUCUUUAAUGUUUAUUCAUUUCGUUCGUGUAUAUUUUAGAAAUUAAGAAAUGAAAACUGUAACUGUACUAAGUUCAAUUUUCGUAUCGUUUAUAUGCCUUACGGAAAACCGACCUUUUCCGGAAUCGACUUUUGUUUUAUCACCGGAAAUGAUUUUGAAAUUUGAAUUUCGAAACGAAGACAGGAUAUCAACAAAGAGAGCCAAGAAAAUUGUUUGUUACGCGAUAUAUACUCACUUGGAGCUAAAAGAAAAGCCACAAAGGACAAGUUCAAUAUGCAGCUUUACAAUUUGGAAGUGGCGCAGGUUCUUUGAAAUGUCUACAACCUUUCAGGAGAAUUUUUUUUUGAAAAGCAUGGCACAGCAAGAAAAAGAUAUAAGACACUACAAGACAUUCCAAGUGAUUUUGAAUAAGACAAUUGAUUGACUUUUUCAAUGUAUUCUUAAAUAAAUCAAAUAGUUGAUGUAAAAUGGUGUUUUGUUCUCAUCUGUUCAGCCAAUUAUCAAUGAUUAUUGACUUAAGAUGUAACCCUAUUAGAAGUGUAGCGUUUUAGUUUAGAAAGAGAAGUUGUAUUGAAAAAUCUCAAUUUGGGACACAAGUUUUAGUCAAUGUAACUUGAACUUAAAAAUGUGUAUAAUGUUUGCAUAAUGUCCAAUGGCAUAUAUGUCAUGCAUGUUCAGGUUGACAUAUGCAUGAUGUGUAUAAGAUAGGUAAUAAAAGUUGAGAGUGAAAAACUAAACAUUAUACCAUUGUGGUUGGAAUGUGGGCUUUCUUGCACUGUCUGUCGUCUGUCCACCUAUAUUUGUCGGAUUUUGUCCAACAAAUAUUUUCAUCAAGUGCUGUUUUUCCCAAAACUGCUGAUAAAGAUGAGUUCAUAUUUAAUGAGCUGCUUGAUAGUGAUGAACUGUGAUGUGUGAACAUUUUUGUAUCUGGCACCUGUUUCCUGUUUUCUUAUACUUUGUAUUUCAAAAUGUUGAAUGUUCUCAAAUUUUUCAUUACUUUAAUUAGUAAUGCUGAUGAACAGAAUGACUUCAUAUUUGGUAAGUGGCUUGGCCAUGAUGAGUUGUGUCUGCCAUUUUAGAUGUGUCAAAAUUUGUAGAUACUUCUUGUUUUUAGAGACUUUGAAUUGUGAAUUUCAUAUGCAUAGCAAAACAACUGAUUUAUUCUUGUUUGUAUAUAGAAUUAAUCACUGUGUAUAAAUUAAUUUAACUAAUGAUUUGUUAUUUAAAAAAGCAGGAAACUCAAUUAAAAGUACAGACAUUUUUUUAUUGAUAUGAUCUAGAUAUCAACCAAAAACAUCUUCUUAAAACAUUUUGAAAACAUUUUUUAGGCACAGUCUCACUUGCAAGAAAACAUCCAAAAAACAUUUUUAUAACAUUAUUUGAUGUUCAUGAUAUUUUUCAAACGUUCAGAAAAUAUUUCUAGAAAAUAUUUUUUAAAAGAUUAUCAAAAUGUUUUAUAUGCCAUUGUUUUUCACAUUAUCAUGA